CUGGAGGGGAGCGCGGAUGCGGCUCCCGGGGUUGGGUUUUUUUUGCCUUUUUUUUUUUUUUAUGAAUGAAGGGCAGCGGCAGCUGCGCAUGCACCGCGCCCCCCGCCCGGGGCUGCAGGACCAUCAUUUUAUCCAUGUUUGGGAUAUUUCCAUUACUGCUGGGGUAAAGGGACUUCUUCUCCUGAGUGAAGACUGUGGGAUCUGACGUGAAGCAAGAAGAGAAGCAAAACCUCUGUGUGAACAUCACAGGGGGACUGUUUCCUCUUCCCACUGCUUUUCCAGAAUCCACAGUGUGUGUUCCUGCAGGGAUUCUCAGCCCUCGUGCUGCCCAGGUUUGUCACCUUGUAAAGCCGUGGUUCUGCUGAGACUCCCCGGUCCCCCGGCAGCAGCGGAUAUUGAAGGAUUUGAGCUGAGAUCUCUGAGCAGCCACAGCCCCUGCUCAGCCCCUCAUUCCCACCCCAGACACAGCUCCCUCAGCCCUACAUUUCCCCCAGGAAUCCCUGGCUGUGUGGCCCCGUUUCAGCAGAGAAUUCCUGCAGCCUCAGCGUUUGAAGCGGCCGAACCCCCGGGGCCGGGGCCAGCAGCUCCGUCCUGGCCAGAGCCCAUGUCCCUUCAGCGGUGAUGUGGUCUGUACAGAGAUUUCCUUCCAUGAAGCGCUGGGAUGAAAGCAAGAAAAUGGGACUUUUUGUAGAGAUGAGCUUCAUCCUGGAGAAUCUGCAGUGUCCAGUUCCAGCUCCCGGAGCCAGGCCAGCCCCAGAGCAGGAGCCUUGCCAGGAAGGUCUCUGUCCUGCCUGGGUUAGGACCGAGAGCUGGGACACGAGCAGGAGCUGUGGCUGUCUGGGCUGGCGCUGCAGGUGUGGCUGCCCCGCACGCCCACAGAUGGACGGACGGACGGAUGAUACCGAAUUACAAACUGCAGCCUCAGAAGUUCCCUCUAUGCUCUCAAUCCAAGCAGUUCUCUGGCUCUCCUGUUGCACCACGUCCCGUGUGAGCCCUGCAGUCCCACCCCAAGCCAAGCCUCUGCUGUGGCCCUGUUCAGGUGCGUGCCUGUCCCUCUGUCCUGGCCACCCCGGGCCAGCCCUCGCCAUCCUCUCAGUGCUCGGACGGGUCCAGCACCGCCCAGGCUGCUGCUGCUGGAGCUGGGGCUGGGGCUGGAGCUGGGAGCAGGAAUGCUGCACGAGGAGCAGGAAUGCUGCACGAGGAGCAGGAAUGCUGCACGAAGAGCAGGAAUGCUGCACGAGGAGCAGGAAUGCUGCAUGAGGAGCAGGAAUGCUGCAUGAGGAGCAGGAAUGCUGCAUGAGGAGCAGGAAUGCUGCACGAGGAGCAGGAAUGCUGCAUGAGGAGCAGGAAUGCUGCAUGAGGAGCAGGAAUGCUGCAUGAGGAGCAGGAAUGCUGCACGGUGUCAGGCAGCGCUUCCUGCAGCCGGCCCUCUGAAGGGUGGCCAAGCCCCGCCGAGGGUUGGCUCCAGCUUCAAAACGGGGAUUUGAGUUUGGGUUCAGCCCUUAUCCCCUGUCCUGCCCCAGAGAAGCAGAGGAUGCUGGAAUCGAGGGUUUCAUCUCCAGGCCAAGUAAACCCCACAUCCAUCCUGGUGGUUAACCAGCAGUAGACAUAGCAUCGCUCAGAAAUCCAGCUUCCUGCAGCACAGCCUCAGUCUGGGCUGUUCCAAGGAAAAUCACUUGGGUUCUGGGUUCACCAGAAGCUCAGCAGUGAUUUACCAUGGCAAUGUGCAGGGAAUUCAGGGUGUUCAUCCUGCAGUGUUUGUGUAAGGGUGUACAGCUGCUCUUUUUAACAUCUAAGUAAGACUGGCUGGAAGAAUCCUGUUCUUAAUUCUGUUGCCCAAUGUCUUAUUUUAAAUUCAGUCUCUAGUACCCCUGGAUGCUGACUCCUGCUUUUUUCCUCCAAGCUGCCUGAGUAAGGAGCUUAAGCUGUUGCUCAAUAACAGUGAGAUAAAAGCUUGAGUUAAUAAUGGCUAUUACCAGGAAAAUCCUCCAAUAAAUAAUAAUUUUCUUAUCUGUAUGACUUUGGGACUGGAGAAAAUGUCUUCCAGUGAAAAGCUGUAGCAUGUAGGAGUGGGCAAGGAGUGUUUCAGAUGAAAGAUCAGAGUAAGGCAAGCUCAGGGCUGAAUCUUGUAAAUGCAGAACAAAAGUGGAAUUAGUGUGGCGAAGUAGUCACUGGAGUAAACUAAGGAGAGCAGCUGUGCACCUCCACCUCUUGUGGUCUGGAGAGCCAGACAGGUCAGUGCCUUGGCCUGUGCUCUUCAGGCAGACUGGGGGGUUCUCAGUUGUGGCAGUGGGUGGCUCUAGAGGCCAUGGACACUGAGCUCUGUGUGUCACCCUCAGCUCUGGAGGCCAUGGACACCAAGCUCUGUGUGUCACCUCAGCUCUGGAGGCCAUGGACACUGAGCUCUGUGUGUCACCUCAGCUCUGGAGGCCAUGGACACUGAGCUCUGUGUCACCUCAGCUCUGGAGGCCAUGGACACUGAGCUCUGUGUCACCUCAGCUCUGGAGGCCAUGGACACCGAGCUCUGUGUCACCUCAGCAUUGCUGGGAGUCACUCCUGCGACCUGCCGGACCCCGUGGAAGGUACAGCCCUAGUUCUGCUCCCGCUGUCCCAGACGGGGACACAAAGGGACACCUGUGUCCCUGCAGAGCUGGGCACCUGUUUGUGCCUGCCUGACGUGUGACCACAGCAGCAGGAGCAGGCAGUGCUGCCACACUGCUCCAAGGAAAACACAGCCCUGCCUUGGGUUUCCAUUACAGAACCUCAGAGGGAAGGGGGUGUUUUUUGGGUGCUCUUCUGCCCCUUCUCAUCUCCGUAAACAACAAAGCACCACAAAGGGCACAGUGCAGGGCAGAAGGCUGCAAUUUUAACAAGCUGCUGAGGCUCAGCCCCCGAGGUUUCACCCACGCUGGCUAUUUCCAGCUCCCCAGUGGGCAGUCGAGAGCCUUUGUUGUGCCCCGUGUUUCCACAGCUGCUUUAGGGGAAAGCUGUGGGGCCAGGCUGGCCCACAGGGAUGCAGCCAAGAUCAUGGAAUCACAGGAUGGCUUGGGUUGGAAGGGACCUUACAGCUCAUCCAGUGCCACCCCUGGCUGGGAUCUGGAGUUCAUCUUGGGCCGCCCAGAGCGGGAUUUGUCACGGUAAAGAUCUCCCCCUCCUGUCUGCCCCGGAGCCAGGAUGAGAGCAGAGAAGGGAAACCCCUCCUCAGGCUCCUGCUCUUGUCCCGUGCCCUGAGCAUGGGCAGGAAAUCUCCGAGUGCAGCUGCGGGGAUGUGCCCCAGGCUGGGUGUGCAGGCUGGGGGAGCUGCCUGCCUGACCCCCGGGCUGGGAAUGCCCCUGGACCAGCAUCCAUCAGGGUGGGCAACUGUGCCCCUCACUGGGGUCACUGCCAGGCUGGUGCCACCUUGGAGGGCUGGAACAGACGUGGGGAUGUGGCACUUGGGGACAUGGGUCAGCGGUGGCCUUGGCAGUGCUGGGAGAAUGGUUGGCUCCAUGAUUUGAGAGGGGUUUUCUAAACUGAACAGCUCUUGGGUUCUGUGAUUCUGCAGACAUGGGGUCCCUGCACAGAUGAGGGCAGGCAAGGCUGCUCUGCAGGUGGGACAGGCAGAUUUACCAACCCCGGAGCAGUGACAGAUCAGAGACCAAGGCUGACACCCAGAUCUAAAUUAAGAGCCAGGAGCAAGGACAGACUUUGUGAGCACAGUGGGCCGUGAGUCAUGGGUGAACUGUGUGUCCAGACUGCUGUGGGCAGUGGGCAAAUCCUUGGGAGGAUGGCUCAGGGCAGACAACACCACUCCCACAAGGAGUCUGAAGGGGACAAAAGGGUUUUAGAUGCCAUGCCAUGAGUCAGUGGUACCUGGGCACAGCAGCCAGCCUGCUUCCCACUCCCUGUGAAACCCCUCUCUGCCCUGUCCUCAGGGACAGCUGCCAGGCUUUGAUGCUGUGGGCUUGGGAAUCUGCCUGUGGGAUCCCAGCCUGGCCCUUUCCCCAGCAGCCCUCUCAGUCUGGUGCUUUCCCUGGGAAGGGAGAGAGUUUGGGGGUAGGGAAAGCACAAACAGAAGGGGAAAGGGAUUCCUGUGAGCUCACUCAGAGUGGUUCUUCUGAGCUCACUUCUGAGUCAAGACUCAGCAGAAUGGUGUUUGUUACCUAAUUAAAACAGAGGUCAGGCUUUAAGCUGCACCAUGGGUGCAUGUUAAUGAUGCUGUGCUGGGGUUAGUAGAACUUUAUUUAGCACUGGCUGUGUAUUAGCUGUUCUUGAAGGGAAUUCCUAAACAUUAACCCUGGCACUGUGCGAGUUUGUCUCAGCCUUUCUGUGCCACCUUCACCAGAAGGAAGUGAAGCCCUUUUGUCAUUCAAGGUUUUAGGGAGAAAAGCAGGAGCUGUGGCAGUUUGGCACUGCAGGUGCCAGGUGCAGACUGUCCCUGUCUCCUCAGGGCUGGAGGCCGGAGCUGCCUCGAAUCCAGGCAUGAGGGACAAGUCCCUGUCCCUUGGUGGGCAGUGUCCCCUGCCCUGUUAAACACUGCCAGACUCUGGGGAGUGUAAAACCUGCAAGGCACCCAUUGCUGCUGCAGUGCUCUGCAUGGCCCUGGCCUCUGCUUUGGUUCUCCAACAGCUUUAAACCAACAGAUUCAGACGGAAACAAGGGAGGAAAUAGGAACUGAACUCUGAGUUUGGCACCUUUCAAGCACAGGGGGAGAGGGAGGAUUCCUGCAUCCACAGCAGAGACCAUGGCAAAGCCAUUGUGUCUCUCACUGGACUGGUUUUCAACAAAUCCUUCUGCAAAGAGAUUUUCAUUGUGAGGUUUCUGUUUGACAGACAGACCCAGCCAGACCCAGCCUCCAGAUAAUCCCCAAGAGCUCUGCACUGACAGAAAAUGUACACAGGAUUCCUAAAAAUGCCCCAGCUGUGAGUCAGUGCCCACUGUGCCCUGGAGAGAGAAGUGCUGGUACCCAGGGGCAGCCUGGGGGGUCAGGGCAGCCUUUACCUCCCUGGAAUAUAAUUAUUUUUUUCUCAGGGAAUAUUUACUAAAAGGGUUGUAAGAUCCAGUGCAAGUGUUAAUGUGUUUUGAGGGCAAUAAAGAAGGGGAAAAAAAAUGAAGAUGGAAUAAGCAAGGAAGGCUGAAAAAGAAAUGAAGGUUAAAGGUGAGAAGGAGGCUGGAAAAUAAUUGGAGUCACAAGGUUGGGGAGGAAAAAAAUUAAAGGAGUGCAAGAGAAAGAAAAAUGUUGAUCAGAAGUAAAAACAAGGACAGAAAAAAUAGAGGCUGCAAAAGGGUAGAGGGCCAAGAAAGGGUGAGAGGGGGAAAGAAAUGCAGAGGCUGAAAAGGGCAGGAGACCAAAAUAAAGUGGGAGGCCAAAGGAAAAGCAGAGACAAAAAAAGUGCAGGGUGAACAGGGGUGGGAGGCUGAAGAGGCACAGGAGACAUACGGGAAGGUCUGCCCAGAGAGGGGUCUGAAGU